GUUCUGUAAGCCUGUGAAGGUGGCCUGUGAGGGUUGCUGGAGGUAUCAGAAGUGCGAAUGCUGACAUAAGUAACGAUAAAGCGGGUGAAAAGCCCGCUCGCCGGAAGACCAAGGGUUCCUGUCCAACGUUAAUCGGGGCAGGGUGAGUCGACCCCUAAGGCGAGGCCGAAAGGCGUAGUCGAUGGGAAACGGGUUAAUAUUCCCGUACUUGGUGUUACUGCGAAGGGGGGACGGAGAAGGCUAUGUUGGCCGGGCGACGGUUGUCCCGGUUUAAGCGUGUAGGCUGGUUUUCCAGGCAAAUCCGGAAAAUCAAGGCUGAGGCGUGAUGACGAGGCACUACGGUGCUGAAGCAACAAAUGCCCUGCUUCCAGGAAAAGCCUCUAAGCAUCAGGUAACAUCAAAUCGUACCCCAAACCGACACAGGUGGUCAGGUAGAGAAUACCAAGGCGCUUGAGAGAACUCGGGUGAAGGAACUAGGCAAAAUGGUGCCGUAACUUCGGGAGAAGGCACGCUGACACGUAGGUGAAGUGAUUUACUCAUGGAGCUGAAGUCAGUCGAAGAUACCAGCUGGCUGCAACUGUUUAUUAAAAACACAGCACUGUGCAAACACGAAAGUGGACGUAUACGGUGUGACGCCUGCCCGGUGCCGGAAGGUUAAUUGAUGGGGUCAGCGCAAGCGAAGCUCCUGAUCGAAGCCCCGGUAAACGGCGGCCGUAACUAUAACGGUCCUAAGGUAGCGAAAUUCCUUGUCGGGUAAGUUCCGACCUGCACGAAUGGCGUAAUGAUGGCCAGGCUGUCUCCACCCGAGACUCAGUGAAAUUGAACUCGCUGUGAAGAUGCAGUGUACCCGCGGCAAGACGGAAAGACCCCGUGAACCUUUACUAUAGCUUGACACUGAACAUUGAGCCUUGAUGUGUAGGAUAGGUGGGAGGCUUUGAAGUGUGGACGCCAGUCUGCAUGGAGCCGACCUUGAAAUACCACCCUUUAAUGUUUGAUGUUCUAACGUGGACCCGUAAUCCGGGUUGCGGACAGUGUCUGGUGGGUAGUUUGACUGGGGCGGUCUCCUCCUAAAGAGUAACGGAGGAGCACGAAGGUUGGCUAAUCCUGGUCGGACAUCAGGAGGUUAGUGCAAUGGCAUAAGCCAGCUUGACUGCGAGCGUGACGGCGCGAGCAGGUGCGAAAGCAGGUCAUAGUGAUCCGGUGGUUCUGAAUGGAAGGGCCAUCGCUCAACGGAUAAAAGGUACUCCGGGGAUAACAGGCUGAUACCGCCCAAGAGUUCAUAUCGACGGCGGUGUUUGGCACCUCGAUGUCGGCUCAUCACAUCCUGGGGCUGAAGUAGGUCCCAAGGGUAUGGCUGUUCGCCAUUUAAAGUGGUACGCGAGCUGGGUUUAGAACGUCGUGAGACAGUUCGGUCCCUAUCUGCCGUGGGCGCUGGAGAACUGAGGGGGGCUGCUCCUAGUACGAGAGGACCGGAGUGGACGCAUCACUGGUGUUCGGGUUGUCAUGCCAAUGGCACUGCCCGGUAGCUAAAUGCGGAAGAGAUAAGUGCUGAAAGCAUCUAAGCACGAAACUUGCCCCGAG
rnacentral:rRNA from 1 species